rnacentral:rRNA from 1 species
GGGUUGUGAGGUUAAGCGACUAAGCGUACACGGUGGAUGCCCUGGCAGUCAGAGGCGAUGAAGGACGUGCUAAUCUGCGAUAAGCGUCGGUAAGGUGAUAUGAACCGUUAUAACCGGCGAUUUCCGAAUGGGGAAACCCAGUGUGUUUCGACACACUAUCAUUAACUGAAUCCAUAGGUUAAUGAGGCGAACCGGGGGAACUGAAACAUCUAAGUACCCCGAGGAAAAGAAAUCAACCGAGAUUCCCCCAGUAGCGGCGAGCGAACGGGGAGCAGCCCAGAGCCUGAAUCAGUGUGUGUGUUAGUGGAAGCGUCUGGAAAGGCGCGCGAUACAGGGUGACAGCCCCGUACACAAAAAUGCACAUGCUGUGAGCUCGAUGAGUAGGGCGGGACACGUGGUAUCCCGUCUGAAUAUGGGGGGACCAUCCUCCAAGGCUAAAUACUCCUGACUGACCGAUAGUGAACCAGUACCGUGAGGGAAAGGCGAAAAGAACCCCGGCGAGGGGAGUGAAAAAGAACCUGAAACCGUGUACGUACAAGCAGUGGGAGCACGCUUAGGCGUGUGACUGCGUACCUUUUGUAUAAUGGGUCAGCGACUUAUAUUCUGUAGCAAGGUUAACCGAAUAGGGGAGCCGAAGGGAAACCGAGUCUUAACUGGGCGUUAAGUUGCAGGGUAUAGACC